GAGUUUGAUCCUGGCUCAGGAUGAACGCUGGCGGCGUGCCUAAUACAUGCAAGUCGAGCGAACAGAUAAGGAGCUUGCUCCUUUGAAGUUAGCGGCGGACGGGUGAGUAACACGUGGGUAACCUACCUAUAAGACUGGGAUAACUUCGGGAAACCGGAGCUAAUACCGGAUAAUAUUUAGAACCGCAUGGUUCUAAAGUGAAAGAUGGUUUUGCUAUCACUUAUAGAUGGACCCGCGCCGUAUUAGCUAGUUGGUAAGGUAACGGCUUACCAAGGCGACGAUACGUAGCCGACCUGAGAGGGUGAUCGGCCACACUGGAACUGAGACACGGUCCAGACUCCUACGGGAGGCAGCAGUAGGGAAUCUUCCGCAAUGGGCGAAAGCCUGACGGAGCAACGCCGCGUGAGUGAUGAAGGGUUUCGGCUCGUAAAACUCUGUUAUUAGGGAAGAACAAAUGUGUAAGUAACUGUGCACAUCUUGACGGUACCUAAUCAGAAAGCCACGGCUA
rnacentral:rRNA from 1 species